GGAGCAAUGGCUCCAGAUCCGCUAAUUCAGUGUUUGCAGAGACUUUACCACAAAUAAGAAUCCACUAUGUGUAAUGCGUGUCAUCUACCAUUCCUAUUACGAAGUUUCUCACUAAAGUGAAGAUACACAAGACUAGGCACAGCGUUGGGUCUGUUCAUUCUGCAGAUUCUACAAACAUUCAUCCAUCACCCGCUAUGGACCAAGCACUAGGUUGAACCAAGUGAUACACGGAUGCUGGUGCCAAAAAGGUCUUUGUGCGCAAGGUCUGGGUUUUCGCCACUCUGAGUCCCCAGGGCCAGGUUCCUGUUGCAGCCUGGAGCCGGAAAAGAAUCUGGGAGGAAGAGGUUGGGUGUUGGGGCCAGCAGACUAGGGGACGACAGAUCCUGCCCUGCCACUCAUUUGCUGUGCAACUCUCAGCAAAGCACCCAACCUCUCCGAGCCCUCGCUUCCCCAUCUGUGAAGUGGGGAUCAUAAGGCCCAUCCUGCAAGGUGGUUUCCGCGGUGAAAAUAGAAAACGAGGCCUGUUCCUACAGCCUGUGUGUCUUGGGAGGAACUGCUCAUCAUCUGUGAUCCUUUUUUACCUGAUUACGGGAAAGGGGAGUGAUCUGCUCACUGACCCCCGGCUGGGCUUUUCCCUGCCAGUGAAAUCAUUUGAAAUUGUCCAAGGAAAUCAGGAACCUGAGCCGACGCAGAGUCACCGAGCUUGGUGCCAAGCACUGGGGGAGCUCCAGUUACAGAAAACAAGUGGAAUCCACAGGCCCCGGGCUGAACGUGGAACUAAUUUGGGAGGCAAUGAGAAAGAGCGGAACAUAACGCGGAGCCCGGGAGGCAGGUCUGCCCUGAGUCAGGACGCCAUCCGGGGGGGUAUCUGGGGCCCCUUGAAAUUUUCAAGGUCCUGCUUCUGAAGUGGGGAGAGCCGGGACAUGAUGGGGACCCACUUCGGAAUCUCAGGAUGGCUGUGCAGAGACUCAGGGCACGGGCCUGGGGUCGGAGCAACUGCAAUCACAUCCUGACUUGCCCCCUCGAUGCUGUGUGACCCGGGGCCUGUCGCUUCACCUCUCUGAGCCUCAGCUGCCGCAUCUGUGAAUGUACGAUCUAGGGAUCCCUCCCUCAGAGGGCUGCUUCAUAGAAGGCUCAGUACCAUGCCAGGCACGUAAGCCACUCUCAGGAAAUCAGACAUGUCGAGACAUGACAUCGGGGGUUGGGGGCAGCAUUAGAGGAGCAAAGACCAGUAACGUCUCCCCCAUUCAUCUGUUCGUUCAGCAGAUACUUAAGAACAUGCAACCUGUGCCAGACUGAGGAACACAGGAGGGAACAAGACAGACCUAGCCCCACGCAAAAGGAAACAAAUAGUGUGUACCUAAUUGCAAUCAUCGUUUGAAGGAUAAGAACAGGGUGCUUGGAUAAAAAAAUAACUGGGGCGGGCUAGGCAUGGUGGCUCACGCCUGUAAUCCCAGGACUUUGGGAGGCCGAGGUGGGCGGAUCACCUGAGGUCAGGAGCUCGAGACCAGCCUGGCCAACAUAGAAAAACCCCAUCUCUACUAAAAGAUACAAAAAUUAGCCAGGCAUGGUGGUGGGCACCUGUAGUCCCAGCUACUGGGGAGGCCAAGGUGGGAGGAUCGCUUGAACCUGGGAGGUGGAGGUUGCAGUGAGCUGAGACCGUGCCACUGCACUCCAGCCUGGGCAACAGAGUGAGACUCCGUCUCAAAAAAAAAAAAGAAAAGAAAAAGUAAAAGUAAAGAGACAAUGCACCCAAAAUUUGGAUAGAUGGAAGGAUAGAGGGAUGGAUAUGUGAUCACUCAAAUUUAGUAAAAUGUUAGUGAGUUGAUGUUGCUGUUUCAAAAUUUUCAUAAUAAAAUGUUGGGGGAAAGUAACAAAACCAAGAAGAAAAAGAGGUAGAAACAAAUUCUUUAACAGCUCUCUUUUCCUACGGAACACUGUCCAGGUGCUUAGCCGGGCAGCCAACACACAAAUCCUUGCCUCACGCCCCAAACUCACUCUAAGUGUGUAGCCCUGGGCACACCCUCAAACCUCUCCGAGGCUGCAGUCCUGGUCUCGUAGGAAGUGAGAGGCCAUCCUCCGGGAGAGGCAAGGCUGAGAUGCACACAGUUGUUUUCAGAGCAGCAAGGCCACUUCGGCAACACCCAGAGCUUAGGGAGGACGUGGUCAACCAGCCUUUACUGGGGCCUGGGAGACUCCCCACUGACACAAACUCCCUUCUGGUUUGCACUGGGGACGUUCAGUCCCUUGGGUUAUGCAUUCACUGGUCCAAUAGAUAUUUUCUGUGUGCCAGGCCCUGCACGGGGCACUGUAGUGUGAAGUCUGUCAGGUUCUUCCCUUUAAAGAACACCCCCAAGACACAGACAGAUCCAAUCCAGUGAGACACACACUCCGAGGGAGCCAACUCCAGCCUGGAUAGACGCCAAGCCCCACAGCCAGGCUUCAGACUGACUCCCGCCUCAGUCCGGAACCUCAGCACAGGAAGGACCCUCGUGUCAGGAUAUCCAGGCCCCGCCCCAGCCCAAUGGCCCCUGCCC
rnacentral:lncRNA from 1 species